AAUAACUUAUUAUUUAAGUUAAAUGGCAGAGCCAGUCCUAAAAUGCUCCUCCACCUGACUUAAGAGUUUUGGGUCACACCUAACCAGAAAUUCUAACAAAGGGAAGCAAAUGUAAAAACAUAUGAACAUAAAACACAUGAACAUAUGAACAUGAGAUUCAAUGUCACAGGCAACAGAAUAAGAAAGUAGGUUGAUUCAGAACUCAGAUUUUAUCUUCUAGCACGGUGAUAAUAACAAAACACUUCCAGACACCUGACUUAGAACCAGAAUUUUUACACUCAAAAAUAAGCUAUAUCAAAUGUCCACUUAGACUCAUGUCAUUAUAGUAAUAAGCUAAUUUAUAAUCAUUGUUAAUUAUCAAAUUGUCAGAUGUUAAUACUACAACAGCAGCAACAAGAAUAAUAAACCACUCUCUACCAGGAAAAACUGACUCAUGCAGCCAAUACCAGGCUUGCUUCGUCAGGGUAUUGGCAUAUUAACAAUGAUGGAUGUGUAAGCAAAGAGCUGUAAAUCUGGAUGCAGGGACUCUUGAACAUCAACUAGAAGGAAGUGAGAUGAUCAAGUAUUUUUCUCUUGCCAGAUAUCAUUUCAUAUAUUCACUAAAAUAGUUCAUCAUCUGCUCUCUGAGGCAAUGAAGUUGCUUAAGUAAAAUUACUAUGGCUGCCCUAUUUAUUUCAGUUACACCCAGUUGAAAAAAUAAUUUAAUUUGAAGGAACUGAAUAUAAAUUUAUUCUUCCAUAUCUUUCUAUAAAAUAAAGGUCUAUUAAGGUCUUUAUAUUUUAAGUGUAACCUAAAAACUCCUAUUUUUUUUUCUGAUAACCACAAUUCUUGCCACAUGACAGCCUCAAAGAUGCUUUUGCUAGAAUAGCUAUAUGCCAAAAUGUUGGAUAUUUAAAAUACAGUUCUGCCUCUGACCUUCUUGUUGACACAAACCCUGUAACAUUUUUCUAAGAAUCAUUCUGAAUUCUGAUGCUGCUAAGAGUUAACAUUUAUUUCUCACUUUCGUUGUUUCCUUCCAUCUGAGUGACAUGCCUGGCCUCCCCAGCUUGAUUCAGAUUGUGAAUUCAUCAGAUUGGUAGAGUCUGGGAGACGACUAACUCUCCUGGCUGCCAGCCUGCCUGUGGGUCCCUUGAGGAAUCUUUGAGGACAGUGCUGCUGACAGAGGGCUGGCACAGGCUUGGGGAUGACAAUGAUUUUCUGAACAGAUAUUAUAUAGUCAGAUUUCCUCUGAAACAGCUUAAUUUUGAGAAGGAAAUGUAUAAAGUCUUCUUAGUUUUAUUUCCCUAACUUCAAAUAAACUCAGAGUUAAAAAGCUAUGUGAUUCUAGUAAGUCAACAGAACAGCC
rnacentral:lncRNA from 10 species